rnacentral:rRNA from 1 species
CAGUAGCCACGGGAAUACGUAGGGUGCGAGCGUUAAUCGGAAUUACUGGGCGUAAAGCGUGCGCAGGCGGUCUUGUAAGACAGGCGUGAAAACCCCGGGCUCAACCUGGGAAUGGCAGUGGAUACUGGCUCGCUAGAGUGUGUCAGAGGAUGGUGGAAUUCCCGGUGUAGCGGUGAAAUGCGUAGAGAUCGGGAGGAACAUCAGUGGCGAAGGCGGCCAUCUGGGACAACACUGACGCUGAGGCACGAAAGCGUGGGGAGCAAACAGGAUUAGAUACCCGCGUAGUCCCUGUCUCUUAUAC